AUGUUGAGGGAUCGAAAAAUUCAAAAGGAAACCCUAAGUGUUACAAAUCGAAAUAAUCAAGUGCAAAUUCACAAAAUUGAAGUAGGUAGGUCUCUAAAUAGAGGAAGGCGCGUGGAUAGAAGUUUAGAAGCGCAUAAAAGAACUUGUUUAGGAGACCUGAAAUUCUGGUACGGUGGUGGAGAUUCCCGACCACCGUUAAAUCAGCAGUUUGAGAGCCUUCUGUAA